GGGGGUGAUUCGGAUUCGACGACGGUAUCGAACCCUUAGGUGCAUGCCGAGGGCGUAGUGGUUCUCGUUAAUCAAAACACUACAAACCUAUUAGUUGCCACAUUGACAACUACUGGAAGUGCAAACGACGAGUUCUUUGACGCUCGUCUUCGUGCUUAAUCGUAGCUAAACCCUACGAGCUUCCCAGUCCGUCCGGCUCGUCUGCUGGCUGGUUUUUCGGACUGUCAUCGUAAGCGGACUCGCCACGUUCAGCAGGUCUCUGGCUGACGGGUUAAAACUUGUGGGAAUCGCGCUGCAGAACCCCGACCACUGGGUCGCUGUGGUGUUAAAUUUAAACGUGGAUCUAAGCAUGUAAAGCCGAAGGCUGAGAGCUGGCGGACGCGGGUUCGACUCCCGCCGCCUCCACCA
rnacentral:tmRNA from 1 species